UACGGGGGGGGCAAGCGUUGUUCGGAAUUACUGGGCGUAAAGGGCUCGUAGGCGGCCAACUAAGUCAGACGUGAAAUCCCCAGGCUCAACCUGGGAACUGCGUCUGAUACUGGAUGGCUUGAAUCCGGGAGAGGGAUGCAGAAUUCCAGGUGUAGCGGUGAAAUUCGUAGAUAUUCGCAAGAACACCAGUGGCGAAGGCGGCUCACUGGCCCGGUACUGACGCUGAGGCACGAAAGCGUGGGGAGCAAACAGG
rnacentral:rRNA from 1 species